rnacentral:rRNA from 1 species
AUUGAACGCUGGCGGCCGGCUUAACACAUGCAAGUCGAGCGAGCGGCGGACGGGUGAGUACUGUCUGGGAAACUGCCUGAUGGAGGGGGAUAACUACUGGAAACGGUAGCUAAUACCGCAUACCAUCAGAUGUGCCCAGAUGGGAUUAGCUGGUAGGUGGGGUAAUGGCUCACCUCGGCGACGAUCCACAGCGGGUCUGAGAGGAUGACCAGCCAGACGGGAACGGUGACAGGGUCCAGACUCCUACUGAGGGCAGCAGAGGGAAAUAUUGGACAAUGGGCGAAAGCAUGAUGCAGCCAUGCAGCGUGUGUGAAGAAGGCCUGCGGGUUGUAAAGCACGUUCAGCGAGGAGACGUGACUCGCAGAAGAAGCACCGGCGAACUCGGUGCCAGCAGCCGCGUAAUAC